rnacentral:rRNA from 1 species
GUCUAUGGCCCUACCACCCCAAACAUGCCCUAUCUCAUCUGGAUUCGGAAGUUAAGCAGGAUCAGGCCUGGUGAGUACAUGGAUGGAAGACAGAUCUUCAGAAGAGACUACUCAGAGACAAGCAGUUUGGAGACA